UACGAAGGGAGCUAGCGUUGUUCGGAAUCACUGGGCGUAAAGCGCACGUAGGCGGAUGUGUCAGUCAGGGGUGAAAUCCCGGAGCUCAACUUCGGAACUGCCUUUGAUACAGCACGUCUUGAGUCCGAUAGAGGUGGGUGGAAUUCCUAGUGUAGAGGUGAAAUUCGUAGAUAUUAGGAAGAACACCGGUGGCGAAGGCGGCCCACUGGAUCGGUACCGACGCUGGGGUGCGAAAGCGUGGGGAGCAAACAGG
rnacentral:rRNA from 1 species